GAUGAACGCUGGCGACGUGGAUAAGGCAUGCAAGUCAAACGGCUCUUCGGAGCAGUGGCAGACGAGGUAGUAACACGUGGGUAUGUACCUAGAAGUCAGGAAUAACUACGGGAAACCGUAGCUAAUACUUGAUAGUCCCUCCGGGGUAAAGAUUUAUCGCUUCUAGAGCAACCUGCGGAAUAUCAGCUUGUUGGUAAGGUAACGGCUUACCAAGGCUAUGACGUUUAGGGGAGGUGAGAGCCUGACCCCCACCGAUGGUACUGAGACACGGACCAUACACCUACGGGUGGCCGCAGUCGAGAAUCUUCCGCAAUGGACGAAAGUCUGACGGAGCGACGUCGCGUGAUCGAUGAAGUCUUUAGGGAUGUAAAGGUCUUUUCUGAAGGAGGAAGUUUAUUGACGUUACUUCAGGAAUAAGGGGUUGCUAAACUCG
rnacentral:rRNA from 1 species